GACGAACGCUGGCGGCGUGCUUAACACAUGCAAGUCGAACGGAAAGGCCCUGCUUUUGUGGGGUGCUCGAGUGGCGAACGGGUGAGUAACACGUGAGUAACCUGCCCUUGACUUUGGGAUAACUUCAGGAAACUGGGGCUAAUACCGGAUAGGAGCUCCUGCUGCAUGGUGGGGGUUGGAAAGUUUCGGCGGUUGGGGAUGGACUCGCGGCUGAUCAGCUUGUUGGUGGGGUAGUGGCUUACCAAGGCUUUGACGGGUAGCCGGCCUGAGAGGGUGACCGGCAACAUUGGGACUGAGAUACGGCCCAGACUCCUACGGGAGGCAGCAGUGGGGAAUAUUGCACAAUGGGCGGAAGCCUGAUGCAGCAACGCCGCGUGCGGGAUGACGACCUUCGGGUUGUAAACCGUUUUCGCCUGUGACGAAGCGUGAGUGACGGUAAUGGGUAAAGAAGCACCGGCUAACUACGUG
rnacentral:rRNA from 1 species